AUCUACGGCCAUGCUGCCCUGAACAAGCCCGAUCCCAUCUGAUCUCGGAAGCUAAGCAGGGUCGGGCCUGGUUAGUACUUGGAUGGGAGACCACCUAGGAAGAUCAGGUACUAUAGGUG
rnacentral:rRNA from 1 species